UACGUAGGGGGCAAGCGUUGUCCGGAAUCAUUGGGCGUAAAGCGCGUGUAGGCGGUUCGAUUAGUCUGCUGUGAAAGUCCAGGGCUCAACCCUGGGAUGCCGGUGGAUACUGUCGGACUAGAGUACGGAAGAGGCGAGUGGAAUUCCCGGUGUAGCGGUGAAAUGCGCAGAUAUCAGGAGGAACACCUAUUGCGAAGGCAGCUCGCUGGGACGUAACUGACGCUGAGACGCGAAAGCGUGGGGAGCAAACAGG
rnacentral:rRNA from 1 species